UACGUAGGGCGCGAGCGUUAUCCGGAAUUAUUGGGCGUAAAGAGCUCGUAGGCGGUUUGUCACGUCUGCUGUGAAAACUGGAGGCUCAACCUCCAGCCUGCAGUGGGUACGGGCAGACUAGAGUGAUGUAGGGGAGACUGGAAUUCCUGGUGUAGCGGUGAAAUGCGCAGAUAUCAGGAGGAACACCGGUGGCGAAGGCGGUUCUCUGGGCAUUACCUGACGCUGAGGAGCGAAAGUGUGGGGAGCGAACAGG
rnacentral:rRNA from 1 species